UAAUGAUCUGUGGAAGGUGUGGCAGUGGGAUGAGAAGUGGACUCAGCUAAAGACCAGAAAGCAGAACCUGACACGUCUUUUCCAGAGGAUGCAGUCUUAUCAGUUUGAGCAGAUCUCAGCUGACCCUGACAAGCCACUGGCUGACUCGACUCGUCCCCUAGACACUGCUGAUAUGGAGAGGCUGAAAGACGUCCAGUCUCUUGAUGAGCUGGGAGAUGUCUACAAC